rnacentral:rRNA from 1 species
UGCCAGCCGCCGCGGUAAUACGGAGGGGGUUAGCGUUGUUCGGAAUUACUGGGCGUAAAGCGUACGUAGGCGGAUUAAUAAGUUAGAGGUGAAAUCCCAGGGCUCAACCCUGGAACUGCCUUUAAAACUGUUAGUCUUGAGAUCGAGAGAGGUGAGUGGAAUUCCAAGUGUAGAGGUGAAAUUCGUAGAUAUUUGGAGGAACACCAGUGGCGAAGGCGGCUCACUGGCUCGAUACUGACGCUCAUGGACGAAAGCCAGGGGAGCGAAAGGGAUUAGAUA